rnacentral:rRNA from 1 species
CUUGCUGUUGGUGGAUGAGUGGCGAACGGGUGAGUAACACGUGAGUAACCUGCCCCUGAUUUCGGGAUAAGCCUGGGAAACUGGGUCUAAUACCGGAUACGACCAUUCCUUGCAUGAGGGUUGGUGGAAAGUUUUUCGAUCGGGGAUGGGCUCGCGGCCUAUCAGCUUGUUGGUGGGGUAAUGGCCUACCAAGGCGACGACGGGUAGCCGGCCUGAGAGGGCGACCGGCCACACUGGGACUGAGACACGGCCCAGACUCCUACGGGAGGCAGCAGUGGGGAAUAUUGCACAAUGGGGGAAACCCUGAUGCAGCGACGCAGCGUGCGGGAUGACGGCCUUCGGGUUGUAAACCGCUUUCAGCAGGGAAGAAGCGAGAGUGACGGUACCUGCAGAAGAAGUACCGGCUAACUACGUGCCAGCAGCCGCGGUAAUACGUAGGGUACGAGCGUUGUCCGGAAUUAUUGGGCGUAAAGAGCUCGUAGGUGGUUGGUCACGUCUGCUGUGGAAACGCAACGCUUAACGUUGCGCGUGCAGUGGGUACGGGCUGACUAGA